rnacentral:lncRNA from 1 species
AGAAUGGGGCGGAGGAUCCUUCCGGUGGAUUAGCGUUGACCUUUGACUUGAUUUGGUCAAUUGCUGACUCGGAGAACUUGAAGAUCCUUUCGCGGAGAGGUGGGUCCACGCUGGCGGUGACGUCACCAUUGGUUGCUGACUUGGCAGGUUCUGGUGCGUCUGAUGGCGGAGAAAGGUUGAGCUUGACUCGGGUGUUGCGAGCCUUGGUGCGUUCAAGGAAAGGUGGGACCGAGAUGGAGGUGGACCCACUGCAGAGUUGUGCCCAGGAGGCCAUGAAGUGCCACGUGGAAGUACCGUCCAGCACAGCAUGAUUAAAUGCUAUUCCAAUGGUGAGUCCAUCCUUGAGCUUGGUGAGCUGUAGGUAGUUGGCAAAAAUAAAAUUGGGACCACAAAAUAAGUCAUCAAUGGGUCCAAACAAAUUAAUUGCUACUCUGCGUUAAUUCCAGUUGAAGCAUUAAUGUACAAAAAAUAUUUAUAUAAUGAGAUCAAUUUAAGUUUAUUUACUAAAAGAAGCAUCUACACUAAAUGGGUAAUUCUGAAAAAAGGAUAGAAGAUUAUAUUUAUACUUUAAGAGUUUGUCAGAUUACACUAAGAAUAUAUAUAGCAGUGGAUAGAACUUAGUUGUUAAUGUCGUUAGACAUUUAAUUGGCGGUCUUAUUUUCAAUUUUAAAAAAAAAGAUUUUUCUCCCAAUAGGAACCAUCAUGAUAUUGUGAAUAAAUUGUAUCUUGACAGGAUGAUUACAUGCUACAUUACUACAAUAAUAAUAAACCCGGCGUUUUAUGAGGUUUGAGCGGGGUAGAGUUUACACUAACCUAACCUUACCUUACACUAACUUGAGAAAAAUAAAUAGUGAAAAUUCAGACAAAUUAAUUAAUCAUGCAACUCUAUAUACAUCUAUGCACACAACUUAUUCAUCACAUUAAUUAAGUGAUCUUUGUCAUAAUUAAUUGAAUACCCACCCUAGCACCUUGAUCUAGCUAAAGGAUUUAACUUGUUUAUAAACAAGAUUGGAGUGUUAGCACAUCGACUGGCUUAUGCUUGGAAUUUUAAAAGGAUUGUGAUAUAGUAUGAUUUCCUUUUGUAGUAAAGGUUGUGGAUCUUCCUAAAGUUAACAUCCUAAUCAGAAAGAAACUCGAUACAACAUUUCUAGUUUCAGUGCCACCGCCAAACCUCUAGGUGCAUUAAAUGUAAGUAUAUAAAGAUAUAAAUAGCUAAAACUCAUUAACACGAACAAAAAUAUUUGUUAAGUGGUCUCAAGAAUAGCCAAAACUAAAUUAUGAGUGUGACACUAACAGUAUUUACACAAUUGAAUUACUUUAAAAGUUUAAAUUACAACGAUCAUAUAAAAAUUCUUUAUCGUGUAAAAUGUAUAUACGGAUCAAAAGAAUGUGGUGCAGUGGAUGAGACUGCAUUUUCCUUAACCAGAGGUAUCGGGUUCGAGCCCUCGGUAUGGAAAAAUCCUUGGUAGGGAGCGCUUCCCGAAUGGGGCCCUACGCGGUGCGAAUCCGGAUAUAGUCGGGCUCCAAUGCGGGUACCGGACACCGGGCGAAAAACCAAAAAAAAAAAAAUUGUAUAUACAAUGUAUAACUUAAAUCCAUUUAUGGAGCAUUAAACCAUUACCUGCACAGCCAGAAGAGGCCGGUGAAGCCCUUCAAAAUUCAAGAUUUUAUUACAAGGAAUUAAAUCCAGGAAUUUGGAGGUGCCUUCUUCAUCCGUAAGAUCUGCAACAUCAAUUCCUUCUGCGGCAGCCACUAUCACCUCCGCGCCGUCCAUGUCAUCGUCGUAUUCCACCUUGAAAACACCCUCUUCAUCUUUUCCCAGUUUCCCAGCUAGUUGAUAGAAAUCUUCCAACACUAAGGCUAGACCAUCUUUCAAUUUUUCCACCGUUUCAUCAAAGUUUUCAGCACCCUUAUAGAUCAGCAACUUUUGGUUGUAAUAGAAAGCUAAGUAAGGAAGAUCAAAUGUUACCAAUUGACACUCUUUUUUGCCUAGUGGUUUAUGUGGUUUUACGUUGGUUUUCUUCAGGAUUUUCACUUUUGUAACAACAGUUUCCUCCUUUGCUACUUCACCUGCCAUGGCUAAUUUCACAAAUGAUGAUGAAAUUGGAAAAGCAAGAGAGAUGAAC